rnacentral:rRNA from 1 species
UUGUAUGGAUCGAUUGAAGUCAGUCGUACCGACGCGAUUCAACUUAUCGUGUGCGAACUUGUGGGCGUGCGUGAGUUUCGGCCUCGCUGUUUGCAUGUUUGUGCGUUUUGGGUGUACUUUUUCGUAUGGUAGGCCAACGUCAGUUUCGAUUAUCAUAAAAUGACCGGCGGAAUGUAGCUUCGAUUUCGGUUGAAGUGUUAUAGCCUCUGGUAGCUGUGGUGAUUGAGACUGAGGAUUGCAACGAAUACCUUUUGGGCUAUCCGUCUGGCCUCUGAAAGUUGCUCAGGUGCCGAAAGCGUGCUUACGGUCAUCUAAGAUAACGUUCAACAGGUUAGAACGUGAUUACAUUCGUUAAGGAUGUUG